GCCAAAGUGGUGCAGUGCUUUGAGCACUGGACUAUAACUCAGGAAAUCAGGGUUCAGUUCCCUGUUUGGCC